rnacentral:rRNA from 1 species
UUCAGCAACCACACCAAAUAGAAUGCACCGGUUAUCAUCCGAGCACCGAAGAUAAACUAUGUUGGGCCCGAUUAGUACUUGCAUGGAUGACCGACCAGGAAUACCAGGUGUUGCUGGCA